rnacentral:tRNA from 1 species
GGGAUUGGUAGCUCAGCUGGAAGAGCGCUGCCUCGACAGGGCAGAGGUUGGGAGUUCGAGCCUCCCCCAUCCCAC